GAUGAACGCUGGCGGCGUGCCUAAUACAUGCAAGUCGAGCGAACGGACGAGAAGCUUGCUUUUCUGAUGUUAGCGGCGGACGGGUGAGUAACACGUGGAUAACCUACCUAUAAGACUGGGAUAACUUCGGGAAACCGGAGCUAAUACCGGAUAAUAUUUUGAACCGCAUGGUUCAAAAGUGAAAGACGGUCUUGCUGUCACUUAUAGAUGGAUCCGCGCUGCAUUAGCUAGUUGGUAAGGUAACGGCUUACCGAGGCAACGAUGCAUAGCCGACCCGAGAGGGUGAUCGGCCACACUGGAACUGAGACACGGUCCAGACUCCUACGGGAGGCAGCAGUAGGGAAUCUUCCGCAAUGGGCGAAAGCCUGACGGAGCAACGCCGCGUGAGUGAUGAAGGUCUUCGGAUCGUAAAACUCUGUUAUUAGGGAAGAACAUAUGUGUAAGUAACUGUGCACAUCUUGACGGUACCUAAUCAGAAAGCCACGGCUAACUACGUG
rnacentral:rRNA from 1 species